rnacentral:rRNA from 1 species
GACGAACGCUGGCGGCGUGCUUAACACAUGCAAGUCGAACGGAAAGACCCUGCUUUUGUGGGGUGCUCGAGUGGCGAACGGGUGAGUAACACGUGAGUAACCUGCCCUUGACUUUGGGAUAACUUCAGGAAACUGGGGCUAAUACCGGAUAGGAGCUCCUGCUGCAUGGUGGGGGUUGGAAAGUUUCGGCGGUUGGGGAUGGACUCGCGGCUUAUCAGCUUGUUGGUGGGGUAGUGGCUUACCAAGGCUUUGACGGGUAGCCGGCUUGAGAGGGUGACCGGCCACAUUGGGACUGAGAUACGGCCCAGACUCCUACGGGAGGCAGCAGUGGGGAAUAUUGCACAAUGGGCGGAAGCCUGAUGCAGCAACGCCGCGUGCGGGAUGACGGCCUUCGGGUUGUAAACCGCUUUCGCCUGUGACGAAGCGUGAGUGACGGUAAUGGGUAAAGAAGCACCGGCUAACUACGUG